rnacentral:ncRNA from 1 species
AAGUUUUAUUCUUGCUUUUUCAUUCAGUUUAUGUUUGUUUUAUAUGUAAGCUUUUGCGCGGGUUAUAUCCUUUCUCUAAAUGGGUUGGAGUGUUAUUUAUUUAUUCUCAUUAGUUAUUAUUGGUUGGUCAAGUAUACUUGUAUUUAGCAAUUCAUUUUAGUUUCGGUUAAAUUUUGUGCCAGCAGCCGCGGUUAUACCUUGGAGGCGUUUGAAUGUGUUUGGUGUUGUAGUUAUGUGUAUUAAGUUUAAUUGAUUUUAGUUUAUUUGUUUAUUAGGUGAAAUUUUUAUUGUUGUUUUAUGUCAUUUAUUUUUUUGGAGGCUAUGAAAUUCCUUUUGUAGACUAGGAUUAGAUACCCUAUUAUUUUGGAUCGUUAAUUUUUGUGCCUGAGUAGUAUUAGUUAUGUUCUUGAAACUUAAAGAAUUUGGCGGUAUCUUAUUCCAUCCAGAGGAAUCUGUCUCGUUAUCGAUAGUCCGCGUUGGACCUUACUUAGUUGUUUUGGUUUGUAUACCGCCGUUUAUUGAUUAUCUUUUUAGAGUUUUAAUUUUCUGGUUUCUUUAUUUUGAUUUAUUUCAGGUCAAGGUGCAGCUUGUUUCUAAGUGGAAUGAUGGAUUACAUUGUUAUUUGUUUAUUGGAUUGUUGAUUUUAAUAUUAGCAUGAAAUUGGAUUUGGUUGUAAUGUUUUGUAGAUUGUUUUCAUGAUAAUUGGUUCUGGGAUAUGUACACAUCGCCCGUCGCUCUCGUUUGUUUGUUAAUGAGAUAAGUCGUAACAAAGUGGUUGUACCGGAAGGUGCGGCUGGAUUGAU